GAUGAAGAACGUAGCGAAAUGCGAUAAGUAGUGUGAAUUGCAGAAUUCAGUGAAUCAUCGAAUCUUUGAACGCACAUUGCGCCCCUCGGUAUUCCGUGGGGCACGCCUGUUCGAGCGUCAUUUACACCCUCAAGCGCAGCUUGGUGUUGGGCGUCUGUCCCGCUCUCCGUAGCGCGGACUCGCCUCAAAGUCAUUGGCGGCGGUCGUGCCGGCUCCUCGCGCAGCACAUUUGCGCUUCUCGGAGGCCCGGCGGAUCGGCAUCCAGCAAGCUACUUUUUAUGACUUGACCUCGGAUCAGGUGAGGAUACCCGCUGAACUUAAGCAUACAAUAAGCGGAGGA
rnacentral:misc_RNA from 1 species